rfam:Paracoccidioides sp. &apos;lutzii&apos; Pb01 unplaced genomic scaffold supercont2.13, whole genome shotgun sequence.
GCGGUUUUUGAGGAUGUCUUUUGUCCGCUUUCAAACGCCCUCCGACUCCCGACUUUAAUUUCGGUCCAGCAGUUUGGAGAGGAAACAAAAACUAGUC